rnacentral:rRNA from 1 species
CGUGUAGGCGGUUAGGCAAGUCAGGUGUGAAAUCCCUUGGCUCAACCAGGGAAGUGCGCUUGAAACUGCUUAACUAGAGUACAGGAGGGGAAAGUGGAAUUCCCAGUGUAGAGGUGAAAUUCAUAGAUAUUGGGAGGAACACCGGUAGCGAAGGCGGCUUUCUGGCCUGAUACUGACGCUGAGACGCGAAAGCGUGGGGAGCAAACA